GGUUAAGUGACUAAGCGUACACGGUGGAUGCCUGGGCAGUCAGAGGCGAUGAAGGACGUACUAACUUGCGAUAAGCGUAGAUGAGGCAGUAAGAGCCACUUGAGUCUACGAUUUCCGAAUGGGGAAACCCAACUGCAUAAGCAGUUAUCUCAAUGUG
rnacentral:rRNA from 1 species